UCGAGAUAUAAGUUGAUUGACGCCCUCAACUCCCCUCUGUAUAAUUUGAUCGACGCCCUCAACUCACCUUGGUAUUAUUCGUGGUAUAGCUAUGUGUUUCUAAUCUCUCAGAAUGAAAGGGUGAAAAAGGCAAUUGUUUACAUGUGGUAAUCAUUUAGGCCGAAGAUUUGGUGAUUCGUGAUAUAAUUUGAUCGACGCCAUCAACUCCCCUCUGUAUUAUUCGUGGUAUAUCUGUUUUUGUUCGGCUCAUGAAACUAUCAGAGCCUUGCGAUUUGGAUAAAUCUUUUGCAAUCAGCCAAUCAAUACAAGGAUAUGGUUGAAUAAGUUGUGUAUCAAGAAAGAGGUAUCUUAAUAGCGUAUUAUUCUAUGAUAUUAUUAAUACUCAAGCAAUGUACAAAUGGCUGAAUUGGUUGUGUAUCAAGAAAGAGGUACCUAAAUAGCGUAUUUAUUCUCUGAUAUUAUUAAUAACCAAGCAAUGUAAAACCUACAAUCAGUGAAGUGUUCUUGUUGUAAAUUACAUGGAAUGCGUCUUUCUACAUGUACACAAACUUUUAGACACAAAAUUAGGUAUAUUAUGUUUAUAUAUAUUAGUUCAUUCAGAGAUUUGUAAUAUAAAAUGGUUGGUAUCUUAUUCGGGUUGCUAAAGUUUUAAAAUCUUUCUUAAGAUAUCCGUUUAGGAUUACAUCGCUCGGAUUAUAUGCUUGAUGAGAAAACAAAUUUACUUCUUCAAAUAGAACUGAACACAAUUUAUAGGGUUUUCAUGAUUUAGAGCUCCUGGCUCUGUUUUUCUUUUUAUGUGUUCAUAUUCGAUUGUGUUUAGGAACAUGAAAUUAGGAUUAGUCAACAAUUCGAUUCAUUGAUCGAGUAUCAGUUUUAGGUUUUACAGAAAUAAGAGCUACUGACUCUUUUUUAUCUUUUUUAUGUGUUUGUACUCAGUUAUGUAUAGGAUACUUAAGUGAAGAUUAGUCAACAAUUUAUUUCACCAAUAGAAUUUUAUUUUUAGGUUUUAUAGAAAUUAGAGUUUCUGACUCUGUUUUUCUUAUGUACAUAUUCAGUUGUGUCUAGGAAAGUAAUAUUAGGAUCAGUAAUUUAGUUCACAGAUCGGAUUUAAUUAGUCGAUCUCUAAUAUCCAAUUGCCAAUGGUUUGUCAAGUGUUUAGUGUUGUACAGGGGCUAAAAGAAGAAUUUGGUAAAGGUCUGUUUUAUGUAUUUGGCAAAGGUCUGUUUUGUGUUUUGAAACAUGUAUUUAGCAAAGGUCUGUUUUAUGUUUUGAAACCUCUGUUUGUUGUGAACAGAUGUUAGAAAAAUAAAAACAGUGGUUGCCUUUGGUCAACAAAUGUUUGAAACCAUUGUUGGGUUAAAUAUUGUUUUGUGGAGAAAACAAUGGUUGAAACCACUGUUGGGUUAAAAUGGUGGUUUGAAACCACUGUCGGGUUAAAACAGUGUUUGUGGAGAAAACAAAUGUUUGAAACCAUUAGUGAGGAUUUCAACAUCAUUAGGUAUUUAAUUAAUCAUGAAACUAAUAAGUGUUAUCUUUUAUUCACUCCGAUCUUCGUUUUUUUUCUUGAUUUCAAGGGCUGGAUUCGACGAAUAAGAAUAAGAAAGGUCAAAAGUCAACAGUUGGGAUGUGCAUGGUUUCAGAUGCUCUUUCAGCGUACAACCACCACAAGGCCUCAAAUUGAAAGCUGGAAGGAAAUGAAGUCCAUAAACGAUUGGCGAAGAAAUCUUCAAUUCAAUCAUCAAUUAACGCACGCUGUUCUCAGUUGUUCAUCAUCAUCAGAGAGUGCACUGAGAAAGAAUUUCAAGUCUUAUGGAGCUUGGCAAAGAGAUUUCAUCCACAGAGCAGUAUUUAAAGCUUCUAAAUCUAUUCCAGAAGUAAAAUACCUACAAUUUUCAUGCGUGGGAUUACCAAAGCAUAUGCUGUAAUUGACGUUUUUCGGAUCUUUUAAGGACUGGGGAAGUGGAGGAGGUAGGGGUUCGGGUACUACGAGUUGUAAGAGGUCUACGGUGAGGAGUUUAGAUGCCGACAAUCUUAUAAAGUUGUUCCAUGGUCCGGAUCAGGCGAAACUCGAGUGUAAUUGAUUGGAAAUUGAAGUCAGAGAUAAAGACCGAGAACUAAGCAAAUUACAAGCUUAGAUCAAAACGCUCCAACUCUUUGAACGACUGAGAGAAAAGGCUGUUGAAGAGCAACAUUAGUUGUAUUUUGUGGGAACUGGGAAUGCAAUUGCUCAAGGCUCUUAUGCAACCCUUAUUUCUGGUCAACAAGUGGUUUUUGUUGCACUUCUCCAUGUGUCAGGAUUUCUUUGCUACAUACCCGAAUUUCAUCCUCUCAACUUUCUAAAGUCAAAGUCUAAAGAAUUCAGAUUUGUAGUGCGAAUAACAUCUGUAUCGAAACAGCCACAGUUUCGGUACACACAAACUCCGUCGAAGACACAUAGAAGCAGAUGCAAAGUUGAUAAUUGUUUAGAUAUAAGCUUGCCUUUUGCCAUCUUCAAGGCGUAGUGCACAUGACCUAAAGCCGCCGGUUAUAAAUGCAUCCCUUUUUUUGUUGAAAAUUUCACUUUUUUAUUUUUUUCAAAUCAAUUAAGUUUCAAGAUAUAAUUAUUAGUCAUGUUUCUUUUAUCUUCAUGUUAUAAAUACAAUGGGUGCACAUGAUGAGAUAAAUGCUGGUGGAUGUGACGGCAUGACUUAAGAAGAAAUAAAGAAGAAUGAGAAGCUAUGACAAGGUUUAAAGCUAUUGAAUGGCUUGAAAGUGUAGUUAGGCCAUUGGAGAUACCAAAAUAGCCAUCAAACUUUGCUGUAUAAGGCCACCGGGGGUGGAAGCCUUUUGCUCCGUGAUGAACAUAUAUCACGCAUUAUACAUGGCGGCCGGUCACCACCAUCACGCGUUAACUUGACAACACGUGGCCACUAUCACGUGUUGUAUAUUGUUGUUUUGUGAAUGAUUUUGAUGAUGGAGAUGAGUGUGUGGUGAGUGAUGGACAUUUCCACUAAAAACCAUCACUAGUGAUGGAAUAAAGCUCGAUGACAUACCGGAAUUUGAUUGGAUGUUGUGAGUGAUGAGUGAGUUGUGAGUGAUGACCACCCUUACCCCCCUAAGGGGUAAAGCUUCAUGUUUCCACCAACCAAUGGUUGUUCCAUCUUAAAUAUUUUUGGUAUGGAUCUUAACCAUAAAUUGUGAUUUGAUUUUGGCUUCUACUAAUUAUUACCACUUUCUUCUUUUUGUAGUGUUGAAGUUUCAAAUCAGAAGAUAUCGAUUUAUGAUUUAUGAUCUGUUUUUUAUUGCCUGGGAUUUUAUUUAGAAUAGGUUAUUAUUUGUAUUAUAGUUGACAAAAAUCGUUGUUUUAUAAAAUGUAUUAAGUAAAAUUUCUAAAAACCACCCGUGUUUGCACAUGGGUUUACUACUAGUAUAAUAUAAUAAAUCAGAUGAAUUUAGGACACGUGUCAUGUAAUUAGGCUAUUGUUGAUGUAGUUUUGGAUGGCUUUCUCUUAUGAAGUUUUAUUUUUGGAAAAGAUUUAUGUGUUCAUUCUAUAUCUUUUUCUCAAGAAUUGGUAACCCUAAUUUUUUUCUUUAGCCAUUUCUAUCCGUGGCUUCUAAUGUUUCACGAAAAAACCCUAACCAAAUAUGUUUUUCAUCAUCUUCUUCUAACAAUUAAUUCAAAGAAAGGUAUGUUUAUUUGGUUUUAUUACAUUUGUAAUUUUAUUCUAAUAACUUAGUCUGAUUUUUUUUUUUUUUUUUUUUGAGUUUUCUUCUCAACAACCUUACAUAGUGAGUCUGUAAAUAUGAGUUGUGUGUGUUUCAUCCGGUCCCCUGUCGCACUUGUAUAAAAAUUUGAGUAUUCAUCCAGGCGCUUCUUAAUUUGAGGUUAAAAAGCCGUUUAGAUAGCUAGCAUUGAAGGUGAUGAUUUAUAGAUGAAUUUGUUAAACUUUUAAUUUUUGUUUAUUUUGUUUGAUUUAAUCGCUAUUAACAACUGUUUUUUAUUGAAUUUGAGUAUCAUCCGGAUGUGUGUAGAGGAAGCAAUUGUGGAGUUCAAUUUCAUUAAAUUAACGAAGCUUAUGAUAGUUGAUCGUCUAUUCUAAAGCAAUGAUGGAGACAGGUGAUAGUUUAAUUUUUUGGUUGCUUUGAUGUACAAGUACUGUUGUUAUUUUUAUAAUUGUAUACAUAUAACUUUAUACUUUUCUCUGUUAAUACGUAGUUACUAGGCUCUAACUUGUUAGUA